CCUACGGGUGGCUGCAGUGGGGAAUAUUGCACAAUGGGCGCAAGCCUGAUGCAGCCAUGCCGCGUGUGUGAAGAAGGCCUUCGGGUUGUAAAGCACUUUCAGCGGGGAGGAAGGCGGUGAGGUUAAUAACCUCAUCGAUUGACGUUACCCGCAGAAGAAGCACCGGCUAACUCCGUGCCAGCAGCCGCGGUAAUACGGAGGGUGCAAGCGUUAAUCGGAAUUAAUGGGCGUAAAGCGCACGCAGGCGGUCUGUCAAGUCGGAUGUGAAAUCCCCGGGCUCAACCUGGGAACUGCAUUCGAAACUGGCAGGCUAGAGUCUUGUAGAGGGGGGUAGAAUUCCAGGUGGAGCGGUGAAAUGCGUAGAGAUCUGGAGGAAUACCGGUGGCGAAGGCGGCCCCCUGGACAAAGACUGACGCUCAGGUGCGAAAGCGUGGGGAGCAAACAGGAUUAGAUACCCCAGUAGUC
rnacentral:rRNA from 1 species